CUCCUCUAUCAUUCAUCCUCCAUUCAGCGGGCUCCCUCCACACAGCUCUCCGUCCCUCUCCUGUCCAGAUGACUAUUUUUAGCGGCAGCACUGCUAUUCUGGAAUUUGUUGCUGACUGGCUGCUGCUGGGUGUCUGGGCGGCGAGCACUUCUGGAAUGUCUGGCCCACUCUCAAACCACUCCAGAGUCCCAGUGCAGGGCGGACGGCUCGGGGCUCUGAUUACAGCUUUAAGUCCGCUGUAGCUGUAGCUGUAGCUGUAGCUCUUCAUCCAGCAGAAACACAAAGCUGUGCUGGAGCAAGAGGAGAAAAAGUUUCUCUGUCCUAUACCACUAAGGCUUUGGGGGUUUCAAAGCAAAAUUGUUUGCAGUGGAAGGAACGCCGUCCAAGCCCACCUGUUGCUCAUGAUUGCAGAGAUCCGCUUGAGCUGGGCCUUGUCAAGAGACAUACUGCAGUAUGCCACUCAAUAACAUCAAUAGACCAGGCAUAUCCAUCACCAAGACGCACGCAAAGCCUAGAUACCUUGAUGGAAGUGAGAUGAAAACAAGGCCUUCCAGCAUUCCCAAACAUCCUGCUCAAGUCAUGUCCAAUGGAUGCUCAUUCCUCCAAUAGGUGAUUCAUCUGCGUGUUGACAGACAAGACAAGCAGGAGAGAUGAAGACACCUGUGAAGGGAGGAGCUGCAGGAUUUCAUAGCAUGACUAUCUUUGCAGCAAGUUGGUGAUCAUCACUACUAAGGUGUGUGUAGAUGCAGUAGAUUAGAGAGAGAGAGUGAGAGGUUUGUCUAUCCUCAUGCUCACUUUCAUCCUGAAAAAAAUUACUGUUUCCAUUUCAUAAUAGGACCUCUGUGCCCUUGUACACGGUAAAGAACCCACUUGGCCAGCAGUAUUUCAUUAACAUCAAAGAAGCGAGUCAGGUGUACUGCAGUUUCGACUUGUGUUGUACAACAAAUCAGCAAUUAGCUCAUUCUUGUGCUUUGGCAUCAUCAUCCUCCUCUUUUCUGGUUUAAUUUAACUUACGUAAGAGUGUCCCCUUUCUGCAACAUGUCUGCUUUGUUUGAAUGCUUUAGCAAUGAUUACAUGGGUGAAACUGACCUUGUGAAUGUUUAUACCCUGUUUACAUGUUUACGACUGUGCGUUUACGAGAUGGCGGUUAUGAUCACUUACUGGAUAAAAGACAGAGGAAGGCGGUAGGGUUUUUUGGAAUUGGUUUCACUUACCUUUCCUAAAGGCAGUGAUGCAUGGGGUAACUUUUUGGGCGACUUUUAAUUGGAAACUAUCUUAAUGGAGCUAGUCCGGCAUUUAAAGCUAUAGUAAAUAAUAUUUUAUUGGCUCUUUGCACAGUAUAUCACCAAAUAUAUCAGCAGGUUGUUUCAGUUAUUGCUGAUCAUUGCCAGUUGUUCCUUUGUUACCUCAAUGGCUACACAGAUUUCAAACUUACUAACUGUGUAUCUGCUGGAGAAUUUCUACACUUCCAGACCUCUUGGACUAAACUGUGUUUAGUUUCUCCAAAAUGAGUAAAUAGUGGAAGUUUUGAAUGAUAGGGCAAAUUUUGGGCAGUAAUAAUCUUCCGUACGCCUUCCUCACAGCAAACCUUUUGUCCUUGCAGGAAAAGCACAGGAGCGAGUUCAGUCUCAAAACAUUUUGCACCGGUUUGGAACGUUUUCGGACUGAACAACAUGUUUCCUUGCAACAUUCCGCAACAGGCUUCGAUGUACGUUUUCUUCUGCUUUGUGGGUGUGUCACAGGUGUUACCCAAUCAGCUGCGACAAGUUUGUAAACACAACGGUGUUAAAAAGGCAGGGAAAUGCAGUGCACUGGCGUACACAACAGGGUGUUCGAGGCACUACCAUUUCCGUUGAAAAAAACAUGUAGCUACAUUUUGUCAGCGCUGAACUCGCCCCUGGUGUAACUAAUAACAUUAAUGAUGGCUGCAUUCCAUUUAGCUGUGCCAGUAAGCCAUGCCAGUGAGCCAUAGUAUGCAUGGCAUCAGGACCCUGGAACUGGAAUGCAGCCAUUAUAAUUGUCAUUGGUAACACCUGUGUCCACCAUAAGAAACAUUGUCAGCAGUAUAUUUGUUGGACAGGUAAGCUAAUCUAGUUAACAUUAGCAAAAGUCAGUUUGUCAGAACCAUAGCACAGUUGCAUUAAAAGCAUCCAGUAGUACACUGUAUACUGUAUCUUGUUUGCUAACCUUUAGCUAGCUUUACUUAUGUGGCUCCACAUCAGUCACUUUGUAUUUGGAAGAGAUGUGAAUUCUUGUCAGUGUAAAAAAAGAUUAACCCCAAGUAUAUAUUGUAACUGUCUGCAUGGAGUCAUUUAAGAGGUCUUGAUUUUAAUGAUUGUGAAUGUUUUUUUUGUAUUUAUAAAAGACUUUUUAUUGGGAUUAUGGUGUAGACAUGAACAUAUCGCUCCACGCAGAUACCAGUGGCGUCCACCAGUGGGCAGUAUAGUUUCUGCCACUAGGUUAAACUAACCCCUGCAAAGCGUAGAUAAACCCCGUACUUACCAGUUUACGGUUGUCGCAAACCCACAAAUGAAAGACGAGCAAGCAGACGAGAGCACACAGUACAGACGCCAAACUCAGAUAAGUAAGAAAGGAAAUUGGCAGGUUUCGGUUUGGGAAACGGAACGAGGUGUGUAUGUUUUGGGUGUUGCGAGAGUGAAAUGUUCAUGUUUAUUGUUGUAAGUAGUUUAGCUAUGUAUUGACGAAGAUCCAUUUAGCUUUGAUGUAUUAAUCCAGUGUGUGAUUUAAAGGUUAUUGUGUAUAUAUAGGUAUUGGUACAAAAUGACUGUUUAAUUUGUGUAUUUAAUUAGUUUUAUUGUUUUAGUAUGUUUGAUUUUAACUAAGGUAAUGUGUACAAAAGUACUUAUGUUUAUAUCUAUUUGUAUAUUUUUAUAGUUUUCACGGUGCACUACGGUUACGGAGAAAGAAAUAAAGAAACCGUAAAGACAUCAGUCGAGACUCUCUGCAUCUUGCUUAAAUCCACCGAGGGCAGUUACAUAUAUAAUAAAAUAUUAUGAUGA